GCUUGGUGUACUAAGAACGGUCACGCGAGCUUCCCAAGCUCGUGACGACGGUUCGAUUCCGUUCGCCCGCUCCA
rnacentral:tRNA from 1 species